GCAGAAGGGAUGCUGCUGACUUUGACAGAGCCCAUCCCUUCAGAAGGGAUGCUGUGGGGGAGAGGGGUCCGCAGAAGGGGGCUGCAUUUAAAUCAAGACCUGAAUGAGGAGGAAUUAACUCUUCAGUAAGCCCUAGCUUUGGCAAAGGCACCUGCUGUGUUAUGAGCUGCCUUGUGGAGAGACUCCUAUGACAAGAAACUGGGGGUUGGCACCCCACCACAGUGGGCAAGAGACUGAAGUCCAACAACCUGCGAAGAGUGAAAUCUGGCCAAAUGCCACAGAAGCUUGGAAGUAGAUCUUCCCCCAUUCGAGCUUCAGAGACCCUAGCCCUGGGUGACACUUGGCUUACGCCUUAUAAGGGACCCCAAAGUAGAUCUUAACGGAGCCCAAACUCUUGACCAACAGAAACCGCGAGAUAAUAUGUGGGUUUUUAAAUUUUUUUGUUAUUGAAGUAGAGCUGACAUAGAAUGUUAUGUUAGUUUCAGCUGUACAACAUUGUGAUAUGAUAAUUCUGGACAUUUCGCAGUGCUUCCCAGGAUAAACGCAGUCGCCAUCUGUCUCCAUAUAACGUUACUAUGUUAUUAUUGACUAUAUUCCCUGUGUUGAACUUUUCACCUCUGUGACUUAUUUAUUUUGUAACUGGAGGUUUGGAGGUCUUAAUCCUCUUCACCUUAAAUAUGUGUUAAGUUGUUAAGUUUGUGUUAAUAUUGUUUCACAGCAACAGGUAACUAGGGCAUCAGAGUUCAGAUUCUCUCAAAUAUGGAACAUUCCGUGGGAUUCCCUCCACACAGAGAGGGUUUCUACAUAGCUCCUUUGGAGCAAAGCAGAGAAGUGAGGCGAGGCUGUGGCCACCCAGGGUAUGGUAGAAAGACCACGUUCAGCAGAAUCUGGGUCCUCCGUGACAUCCUUGCUGUUAAAAUUUUCAAACACCUGUUAGAAAGAGUCCACCAUGAGCCCAUUAACUGUUGAACUGCACGAGCUGCGACCCGCGUGUCCCAAGAUUAUUCACGGAUAUAAGAGAAUCUUCUCUGUAAAGUGUUGUCACUGGGGCUGAGAUGGAUCUCUCAGGGAAGACCAACUUAACAUGCACUUGACGGUUGGUCUGCAAUUUGCUUACUCUGGGAUCAAAUAAAACUGUUUUGUGGCAAUGCUUUGGGGGUAGGUAUGUAUUUUUCAAAUAAAAAUGUAUCUGUAUUAUAGAACAAAACUUUGUAAUGUAAAGAAUGAAAGACCCCAUGAGUCUUUUUAAACUUUCUGCAUUUAUUACUUUAAAAAAAUGAAAAUUUAGAGAAAUGUCACGAGUCAGCCUUGCCUUUACUCAGUGACCCCCUCGCCCCUCCCGGCCUGCCC
rnacentral:lncRNA from 1 species